rnacentral:lncRNA from 1 species
GCCGCUUCCCCGGAGAGCGCCCCGCCGGCCCGGCACCCGCCCGACGGGGCUGAGCCCGAGGGCGCGGGGGUCGGGGACCCCGGAGAGAGCCGCGGCCGCCGCCGCCGCGCCUCCCAGUGCUAAGCACGUGUAGGACUCGGAUCGGCGCCGAGGCGAGGCGGCGGGGACCCGGGCGCACGGCGGGCAGCGCCCGGUGAAGGAUGGCCCUUUCCCAGGGGCUCGGCCCUGAUUUAUGUGAGAACCGCAGCGCUCCGGGGACGCCCCCGCACGGCGGGGCCGCUCCCCGGGACAGCGCCCGGCGGACGGUACCGGCGAUGCCCCGCCGCUCCCGGCCCCGCACCGCCCGGCCACCUGCCGGCUGCCCGCCCGACGUCCGCGCACCGAGCC